GACCCGUCUUGAAACACGGACCAAGGAGUCUAACAUGUGCGCGAGUCGCUCGGUCUUGAAUAGGCCAGAGAGGCGCAAUGAAAGUAAAGUUGAUUAGUUACGAUCCUCGUGCGGUCGCUGGUUAACUGGCGACGGCGGGGCGCAGUAACAGCCCUCCCAUUUCGCUCAUAUCGACGAUAGGGAGGAGUUGUAGCGUACACGUUGGUACCCGAAAGAUGGUGAACUAUGCCUGAGCAAGAUGAAGCCAGAGGAAACUCUGGUGGAGGUCUGUAGCGAUUCUGACGUGCAAAUCGAUCGUCAGACUUGGGUAUA
rnacentral:rRNA from 1 species